rnacentral:rRNA from 1 species
GAUGAACGCUAGCGGGAGGCCUAACACAUGCAAGCCGAGCGGUAGAGUUUCUUCUGAACCUUGAGAGCGGCGCAUGGGUGCGUAACACGUGUGCAACCUACCUUUAUCUGGGGGAUAGCCUUUCGAAAGGAAGAUUAAUACCCCAUAAUAUAAUGAUUGGCAUCAAUUAUUAUUGAAAACUCCGGUGGAUAGAGAUGGGCACGCGCAAGAUUAGAUAGUUGGUGAGGUAACGGCUCACCAAGUCAAUGAUCUUUAGGGGUCCUGAGAGGGAGAUCCCCCACACUGGUACUGAGACACGGACCAGACUCCUACGGGAGGCAGCAGUGAGGAAUAUUGGACAAUGGGUGAGAGCCUGAUCCAGCCAUCCCGCGUGAAGGAGGACGGUCCUAUGGAUUGUAAACUUCUUUUGUACAGGGAUAAACCUACCCUCGUGAGGGUAGCUGAAGGUACUGUACGAAUAAGCACCGGCUAACUCCGUG